GGUGCUUUCGUCUAGUGGUAGGACAAUACGUUGUGGUUUGUAGGCUACGGCCUGAGAACGACAUCCGUGUAAACGGCGGUUCGAUCCCGUCAGGCGCCA